ensembl:lncRNA
AGAUAGCUUUGCAGGGUGUGACCAGGGUAACUGGGCGCGGAGGACGCGCGGACUUCUAAGUGACCGGCGCCCAGAACUCAGAGCCACCGGGUUUGCGCUCCGCAGCUGGGGAACUUGGAGAGUUAGGAACGCCGAGGUGCAGGCCUCUGGGAGGGGCAUCGAGGUGCACUGGGCGUCCCGGGUGCUGGGCGAUCGCGUCCUGCUCUGCGCCCCCCACUUCCAGCCACGAGUCAGCCUCACGCGGGCCCGCGGCGCGCUGCGAUGAUGGAUCGCGCCUGGCGGGGGUGAUUUGGUGUUGAUCGCACAUUAUCACUGGCAGGUUGGACUGGUUGCUGAUGGACGACUUCUAGCGGCGGCGGCGGCAGCGUCUUCAGACACCGCGCAGGGACUCGCUAGCUCUGCGGGGGUCUCCCCCCCGCAACCACCCCCCACCCCACUCCCUGGAGUUUGGAGGGUCUGGGAGGAGUGGGGUCUCCCCUGCGCCCAAGGCCGAGCUCCGGUGCGUGUCUUGGUGUGGGCCGCGGGCCGGGCCAGGAGAGGAACCAGGACGCCUCUCCCACUUCCUCCUGUUCCUCCUGCUCUUGCCGCCUGCUCCCUCCACCCCUUGCCUGGUUCCCCAUCGAAAUCUGAAGGGCCUUGGUCACUCGGCCAGUGAUUUCCCCCACCGCUCCGUCCUGGCCGCGGGGAUGCAGACCCCUCCCCUCAAGGCCCCGGACCCUCUCCCUGUGCUCGAAGAAGCCUCGGCGCUGCGGUGCGCCCCUCCUUGCUUCUUUUUCUAAAGUGCCUGCUGAUACAAAAGCGGUUUCGUAAUGCCUUCCGUCUGCGAGAGCCGGAGGACCUUGGCUGACCUUUCGGAAACUGAUUGCAACUGCCUGUUAACAGCCCGUACUGACCGCACUGAGCGGAGCGGAGGACAAUCAUUUAAGUGACAGACGGCGAGGUGGCCCCGCUCAGUCGAGCGGCCUGGUUAAGCCCGCCCCUCCCCCCGGACAAACCCCCCCCCCCCCCGCCGCCGCCGCUAGUCCUCCAGCCCCCGGUGCACUUUGGGCUGUGGCGGGCGCUCGGGCAAGCGAGGAGGGCGCGCUCGCGAGUGUGUGUGAGCGUGUUUAUGCGUGUCCGCGAUUACCGACCGACGGGUUAACCCUUUCCCGAGCGGCCCGCCCCUUUGAGGCCAGGCGCUGCCCGCUUAAUCUCCCAUCUGCAAAAGAGGAAUAAAAGGGCCGCCUCCGCCGACUUUCCCUAAUGCGUAAACUGUACCCUUUUAGCGUGACCCGAGCUGCGUUCCUGCUUGCUGCCGGGGAAAGAUCCCACUCUCGGCUCUUCUGCCUCGGCCCUGUGCCCCCUCCCUACACGCACAGACAGCACAGAUUCAAGGAACAGCACGGGGACAGCGCAAGGGAUCCAAAGGCUCGGAGAGACUCGCGGUGCAGUGGUCGAGGGUGUUCCUGCAGCCAGCGAACGCUCGGCGGCGCCCCUCCCCCGCUCACCCGCCGCCUCCCUUUGUUGAUUCUCAGCUGCAAGCGCGGCAGGGCC